rnacentral:rRNA from 1 species
ACGCACGCUGGCGGCGUGCUUAACCCAUGCAAGUCGAACGGAAAGGCCCUGCUUGCAGGGUACUCGAGUGGCGAACGGGUGAGUAACACGUGGGUGAUCUGCCCUGCACUUCGGGAUAAGCCUGGGAAACUGGGUCUAAUACCGGAUAGGAGCCAUUUUUAGUGUGAUGGUUGGAAAGUUUUUUCGGUGUAGGAUGAGCUCGCGGCCUAUCAGCUUGUUGGUGGGGUAAUGGCCUACCAAGGCGGCGACGGGUAGCCGGCCUGAGAGGGUGGACGGCCACAUUGGGACUGAGAUACGGCCCAGACUCCUACGGGAGGCAGCAGUGGGGAAUAUUGCACAAUGGGCGCAAGCCUGAUGCAGCGACGCCGCGUGGGGGAUGACGGCCUUCGGGUUGUAAACUCCUUUCGCUAGGGACGAAGCUUUUUGUGACGGUACCUAGAUAAGAAGCACCGGCUAACUACGUGC